rnacentral:misc_RNA from 1 species
GAUGAAGAACGCAGCGAAAUGCGAUAAGUAAUGUGAAUUGCAGAAUUCAGUGAAUCAUCGAAUCUUUGAACGCACAUUGCGCCCGCUAGUAUUCUGGCGGGCAUGCCUGUUCGAGCGUCAUUAAUUCCACUUAAGCCCUGCUUAGUGUUGGGAAUCUACUCUAGUGGUGCUACCCUGGAGCUACCCCUGAAAGGGGGCUGGCCCGGUAGCUACCCUGUAGUUCCUCAAAGAUAGUGCGCGGAGUUGCGUGGUCCUCUGAGCUUAGUAACUAUACACCUAGCUUUUGAGUGUCCCGCGGCGCCUGCCGUUUAAACCCCAUCUUUUAAUGGUUGACCUCGGAUCAGGUAGGAAUACCCGCUGAACUUAAGCAUAUCAAUAAGCGGAGGA